UACGUAGGGUGCUAGCGUUGUUCGGAAUCAUUGGGCGUAAAGCGCGUGUAGGUGGUUAGUUAAGUCGGGUGUGAAAUCCCUAGGCUCAACCAAGGAAGUGCAUCCGAAACUAACUAGCUCGAGGACGGUAGAGGAAGGUGGAAUUCCUAGUGUAGAGGUGAAAUUCGUAGAUAUUAGGAGGAAUACCGGUGGCGAAGGCGGCCUUCUGGGCCGUUCCUGACACUGAGACGCGAAAGCGUGGGGAGCAAACAGG
rnacentral:rRNA from 1 species